GUGCUCGCUUCGGCUGCACAUAUACUAAAAUUGGAACGAUACGGAGAAGAUCAGCAUGGCUGCUAUGCAAGGAUGACACGCAAACUCAUGAAGCAUUCCAUAUUUUU